rnacentral:rRNA from 1 species
AUUCUAGCUAUAAUGUUACUAACACUAAAGUAUUAAAAGUUAUGUUCUCCAAAUUUAAAGGAUUUGGCGGUAAUUUAAUCCAAUUAGAGGAACCUGUUAAGUAAACGAUACACCACGCAAAAUCUUACCUAUUUUCAGUUUGUAUACCGUCAUUAUUAGAUAACUUUGCAAGAAAAUUAGUUAUUACAAUAAAACCCUUUAAUAUAUUAGAUCAAGGUGCAGCUAAUAAAUAGGAACCACAAUGGGUUACAAUAAGAUUUAAUUAAACGGACGUAAGGUUUAAACACCUUUCUAAAGGAGGAUUUAAUAGUAAGAUUGGUUUAACACGCCAACCUGACAAUGGACCUAAAUUGCGUACAUAUCGCCCGUCACUUGCAUUAUCAAAUGAAAUAAGUCGUAACACAG